rnacentral:rRNA from 1 species
UGGGGAAUAUUGCACAAUGGAGGGAACUCUGAUGCAGCAACGCCGCGUGAACGAGGAAGGCUUUCGAGUCGUAAAGUUCUGUUUUAAGGGAAGAAGAAGUGACGGUACCUUAAGAGCAAGCCACGGCUAAUUACGUGCCAGCAGCCGCGGUAAUACGUAAGUGGCAAGCGUUAUCCGGAAUUACUGGGCAUAAAGCGUUAGUAGGCGGUUAAGAAAGCCAGGUAGUGAAAGCCACAGGCCUAACCUGUGUAAGCUAAUGGAACUUCUUAACUUGAGUACAGUAGAGGAAAGUGGAAUUCCUAGUGUAGUAGUGAAAUGCGUAGAUAUUAGGGAGAACAUCAGUAGCGAAGGCGACUUUCUGGACUGUAACUGACGCUGAGGGACGAAAGCGUGGGUAGCGAACA